GCCCCAGAGCACCAACCAGGACCACCAACAGGACCAAGGAUCUACCCUGGGCCGGGCUCCUGAUGCUGGGUAUACACUUCUGCAACAUGGUGGUGCUAACAUCUACGAUACGAUCAAUUCCUCAGACAACAAUGAUAAUGAUAGUGCUGCUGCUGGAACAAGUCAUGUGAUAUACGCCCAGAUUCAACUCAAAAAGUUGGACAAGAAAAAGAAAGAAAAGCCAGCUGAUCCAAAAGAAAAUCCAGUCUACUCUGAGGUGAAGACAGGGAAAGCCACAGCAGCAGCUGGACUUGUUGAUGUGACCUAUGCUGAGGUUGACCUAAAAAAGAAGACCAAAGCCAAGAAGAAGAAGAGAGAAACAUCAACCCCACCAGAGGCAGAUUCAGUCUAUUCUCAACUGAAGCCAGGCACAGCCCCAGGU